AAGAUUUAGCCAUGCAUGUCUAAGUAUAAACAACUUUAUACUGUGAAACUGCGAACGGCUCAUUAUAUCAGCAAUAAUUUAUUUGAUGGUUCCUUUCUGCAUGGAUAACUGUAUUCUAGAGCUAAUACAUGCGCAAAGUCCCAAAUCUCGCGGGGAGGGAUGUAUUUAUUAGAUAAAAAACCAAUGGGCUUCGGUCCUUUAUAGCACCUUAUCGGAUGGCAUAGCUUUACGCUGGCCACAGAUCAUUCAAAUUUUUGCCCUAUCAGCUUUUGACGGUAGUGUAGUGGACUUCCGUGGCGUUAACGGGUAACGGAGAAUUAGGGUUUGAUUCCGGAGAGGGAGCCUGAGAAACGGCUACCACAUCCAAGGAAGGCAGCAGGCGCGCAAAUUUCCCCCUCCUGACUCGGGGAGGUAGUGACGAAAAAUAACAAUACGGGACUCAUUCGAGGCCCCGUAAUUUGAAAGGGGACACUUUAAAUCCUUUAACGAGGAUC
rnacentral:rRNA from 1 species